CCCGAACGGAGACCCCGGCCCGGCCGUGCGGCCUACCCCGACCCCGACCCCGACCCGGUCCUGCGACCUACCUCGAACCGAGGGCCCGGCCCGGCCUGGCCGCCCCUCCUCCCCCGCCCCGGGCCCUCUCGCCCCUCCGUACCGGGGAAGGCCGCGGGGGGGCGGAGCGGGGCUGCAGGGAACGGCGGAAUCGAUCGCAGCGCCGGAACCGGGAGGCGGAGGCCGAGGGGCUGCGGGGCUGCACCGGGGCGAACCCCCUCCCAACCCCCCCCCCCUCCGCAUCCCACCCCGCUGGGGGUGUCGGGGCGCGGGGCUGCACCCCAUGGAGGGGAAGUUCCUCCAGCCGAAGAUGGGGGCGACUUCGGGUUCACUGUAGUGGAGCAUUUUCACUUCCGAGUCGCUCAGCCCAAAGUCCCACAUGUAGACGUCGGACAUCUCCCCCGUGAAGGACUGCAGAACGUCGAAGCCUCCCCCGUAGGCGUCCUGCUCCUGCCCCAGCACCACCACGGCCUCGUUGCCCACCACGUAGCCCUUCUGCAGCCCUUUGCGGGGCCACGGGCGCCCGUUGAGCCAGAAGCGCACGAUGCCGCUGGGUGACUCCCAGGUGACGCAGACGUGCUCUGGGUCCAUAUAGUUCUCGGGGAUGUGGAAGGCGACGUAUUUCCCCCCCACGUAGAAGUGGUACUCGGUGGGUUUGAAUUUGAGGAGGAGGAUCUCGUUGUCCUGCUCCUUGGUGGCGUAGGAGAAGAGGCUGUGGGGCCGGGUGAGGUCGGUGUAGGAGCGCAGGCACACGGUGAAGUUGAGCAGGGGGUGCUCUGGCCGUGCCUGCAGCAGCACGUAGGAAUCGUUGGACGCUUGGGGGAACACGAACACUCUGUACUUCAGGUCUGGGAGAGGUGAGAAAAAAGUCAGUGUCCCUCACAGAGGGAAACUAUCAGACGGGGAAGUGGCCACUCUUAGCCCAGAGGUGGCUUCCAGCAUCUCGAGGUGCAGCCACGGGAGGGCUGGUGACCCAGGGUGACAUUGGCACGGGGUGGCGAGGAGGAGCUGGGAGAAGGAGGGCACGGCUGGGGACAGGUUUUCCCCUCCUUACCGUCUAUCCAAAGGUUGUAGGUGGCCACGGCGGUGCCCUGGGGGCUGCUGACCUUGCAGGUGUAGGUGCCCAGGUGGGUUUUGUUUAAGGAGCGGAAGAGGAGGAUAUCACUGGGGCCUUUCUGCAGCGGUUUGUGGAUCCCUUUCUUCUCCCACACGAACUCCUUGGGGCUGUGUGGGGCUCGGUGUCACCCAGGCCUGGGGUUGCCCGUGGGGUGGCCGUGCCGUGGGGUGGAGGGGUUGGGGGGGGAUGCCUUACCCGGGGUCCCCGGAGACCUUGCAGCUCAGCACCAGGCUGUGGUACAUAGAGGGCACUAUGGGGGAGCUCUGGAUCUGGGCGCUCAUUUUGGCUGCGGCACCUGGACAGAAGGACGGCGCUGAGGUGGGGGGGUUUCAUCGCCCUGCCACCCCCCAUCACAGCCCACGUCCCCACGUGUGCCCCUUUUGUGAUGUCCGGCGUUGUAUCCCUGCUGUGCCGCGUUGCUCAGUGCCACCACCCCGUGUGUCCCCCUGUCGUCGUCCCCCGACCCCCUAUGGGAUCUUUCACCCCUACCAUCUGUGGCAGAGAGGCUGCAGAGCCCCACGAGGAAGGAGAGGAGGCAGAAGCGUGGCGUCCCCAUGACCCCACCUCAGUGACAAUGGCAGAGGCACCGCUCCAGGGGACUUCCCAGAAGGAAGGCACUCCCACCUGAUUUUCUCCCUGGACUGCGAGGGCACUGACCCACGUGUCGCUGUGUGGACAUUGGCCCCGCAUCCCACAGGUGGACGUCCGCCAUCUCCCCCGUGAACGAGUUGUAGACGUCGAAGCCUCCCCCGUAGGCGUCCUGCUCCUGCCCCAGCAUCACCACGGCCUCGUUGCCCACCUCGUAGCCCUUCUGCAGCCCUUUGCGGGGCCACGGGCGCCCGUUGAGCCAGAACUCGGCGAUGCCGCUGCCCGACUCCCAGCUGGCGCAGACGUGUUCCCAUUCCCCGCGGUUCUCGGGGACGCGGAAGAAGGCAGUGAGGAGCAGCACGAGGGGCGCGAGGCAGCAGUGCAGCCCCCCCAGCGCCGUGCUCAGCCCCAGCGCGAAAUCAAAGCUCUCAAAGGCACUGCAGCCCUCAUCGUAGAUGGAGUUGAAGAGGUCCACGAGGAACGAGGAGGUUCUGUUCACCACGAUUUCAGGGCUCUGUGAAGGACAGGAGGUGCCGUGUGCUGCGGGGUGACGCUGAGUUGGCCCCUCCGGUGGCCACGUGCCGCGCUUUAUCAGGGAGGGACAGUGUGGGGAGUGCUGAUAUCUCAGGGUGUGGUUUCAUCCCAAGCCAAGAAAACCCGUUUUCUUGCACUCAGUGGUGUUUUCCAGUUCCAGGACUCGUUGCUAUGCACCCCUCCCUGGGGGGGAGGUGGUGUUGGGUACCCUAUGGGGUCAGGGUUGGGUACCCAAUGGGAGUGGGGUUG
rnacentral:lncRNA from 1 species